GCCACUAGAACAUGUAAAAUGGCAGCUAAGGUCUGUGCAAUCCCUUCAUGUUUAGAAACUGGCUAAAGCUUGAGUUCUCUUAUCUUUUGGUUAAGGGCACCACUUUCAGAUAAAAACAUAGACCUGAAUGGCAUCAUCCAGUAUCCAAGGAAACCAUGCUUGCUUGAAGAGUGAGCAAGUGAGCAAAGAGACAAGAUUACAUGUUUAAACCGAGAAAAGAAUCUUGAAAAACAAAUUGGAAGAAUGUGAAAUGUUAUUAGACACAGGCACAGCAUAGCAGUAGAAACAUCUUAACUAAGAACCUGGAACUGAAAGAGAAAGCAACCAACUUAAAGGGCAGACAGGACACAUGGUUAUAAUACAGCAGUAGGUAUUCACAGUGAUGACACAAGACAAAAUAAUUACAUUUUCAUUCUAAAACCAAUUUUUAAGGAGGCAAGGGCAUUUAUUUUAUAAAUAAUUUAAUAAAAAAGGUAAAAUUAAA